UAUCCCUACGGGGGGCAGCAGUAGGGAAUCUUCCACAAUGGGCGAAAGCCUGAUGGAGCAACGCCGCGUGGGUGAAGAAGGUCUUCGGAUCGUAAAACCCUGUUGUUAGAGAAGAAAGUGCGUGAGAGUAACUGUUCACGUUUCGACGGUAUCUAACCAGAAAGCCACGGCUAACUACGUGCCAGCAGCCGCGGUAAUACGUAGGUGGCAAGCGUUAUCCGGAUUUAUUGGGCGUAAAGGGUGCGCAGGCGGGCUUGUAAGUCAGAUGUGAAAUCCUGUAGCUUAACUACAGAACUGCAUUUGAA
rnacentral:rRNA from 1 species